GCUCUCCAUUUACUCCGCAGCACAUAACUAAAAUUGGAACAAGACAGAGAAGAUUAGCAUGACCCCUGUACAAGAAGACUAUUUUUAUGACAUUUGGUCGCAGCCAUA